rnacentral:rRNA from 1 species
GAGGAAUAUUGGUCAAUGGGCGAGAGCCUGAACCAGCCAAGUAGCGUGCAGGAAGACGGCCCUAUGGGUUGCAAACUGCUUUUGUAUGGGGAUAAAGUCAAUCACGUGUGAUUGUUUGCAGGUACCAUACGAAUAAGGACCGGCUAAUUCCGUGCCAGCAGCCGCGGUAAUACGGAAGGUCCGGGCGUUAUCCGGAUUUAUUGGGUUUAAAGGGAGCGUAGGCUGGAGAUUAAGUGUGUUGUGAAAUGUAGACGCUCAACGUCUGACUUGCAGCGCAUACUGGUUUCCUUGAGUACGCACAACGUUGGCGGAAUUCGUCGUGUAGCGGUGAAAUGCUUAGAUAUGACGAAGAACUCCGAUUGCGAAGGCAGCUGACGGGAGCGCAACUGACGCUGAAGCUCGAAGGUGCGGGUAUCGAACAGGAUUAGAUACCCUGGUAGUCCGCACAGUAAACGAUGGAUGCCCGCUGUUGGUACCUGGUAUCAGCGGCUAAGCGAAAGCAUUAAGCAUCCCACCUGGGGAGUACGCCGGCAACGGUG